rnacentral:rRNA from 1 species
GACGAACGCUGGCGGCGUGCUUAACACAUGCAAGUCGAACGGAAAGGCCCUGCUUUUGUGGGGUGCUCGAGUGGCGAACGGGUGAGUAACACGUGAGUAACCUGCCCUUGACUGUGGGAUAACUUCAGGAAACUGGGGCUAAUACCGGAUAGGAGCUCCUGCUGCAUGGUGGGGGUUGGAAAGUUUCGGCGGUUGGUGAUGGACUCGCGGCUUAUCAGCUUGUUGGUGGGGUAGUGGCUUACCAAGGCUUUGACGGGUAGCCGGCCUGAGAGGGUGACCGGCCACAUUGGGACUGAGCUACGGCCCAGCCCACUACGGGAGGCAGCAGUGGGGAAUAUUGCACAAUGGGCGGAAGCAUGAUGCAGCAACGCCGCGUGCGGGAUGACGGCCUUCGGGUUGUAAACCGCUUUCGCCUGUGACGAAGCGUGAGUGACGGUAAUGGGUAAAGAAGCACCGGCUAACUACGUG